AAUAUCAAUUACAAGAAUUGAGUACAUGUUUCCUAUGUAUCACUGUUUUCAUACAUAAGCUCUUUGUCUUUAAACAUGUCUGCUUGUGUCUGUAUAUGUGUGGAUGGAUAUGCGUGUGUGUGUGCGCGAGUGUAUACCUGUCCUUUUUUCCGCCUAAGGUAAGUCUUUCUGCUCCCGGGAUUGGAAUGACUCCUUACCCUCUCCCUUAAAACCCACAUCCUUUCGUCUUUCCCUCUCCUUCCCCUCUUUCCUGAUGAGGCAACAGUUUGUUGUGAAAGCUUGAAUUUUGUGUGUUUGUUUGUGUUAGUUUGUGUGUCUAUCGACCUGCCAGCACUUCGUUUGGUAAGUGACAUCUUUGUUUUUAGAUAUAUUUUUCCCACGUGGAAUGUUUCCCUCUAUUUUAUAUAUAGACUUACCUUAGGGGGAAAAAAGGACAGGUAUACACUCGCACACACACCCAUAUCCAACCACACAUACACAGAGACAAGCAGACAUUUGUAAAGGCAAAGAGAUUCGGCAGAGAUGUCAGUCGAGGCAGAAGUACGAAGGCAAAGAUGUUCAUUACAGGUGAGGUAUGAGCGGCAGCAACUUGAAAUUAGCGGAGGUUGAGGCCUGGCGGAUAAUGAGAAGAGAGGAUAUACUGAAGGGCAAGUUCCCAUCUCUGGAGUUCUGACAGACUCAGUGGUUUCACUUUAAUAACACUAACAGAAAAUACUAGUGUUGCAAUCACAAUAUUCACACGACUGCACAGCACAGCUGUGGUGAAACUGAACUGAAAUACUCAACAAUGGAAGGUCCAGGAUGGAAUGACAAUAUUGUUGAACUGAAAUACUGUCUGACAAUGUAAGAAUCCUUUGGUGGCAUACAAAAAUAUCAAAGUUUAAGCAGUGGCUUUAAACUGGAACAAAUAUCCAAACAAUGCAAUAAAAUUAAUAAGGGAGGAGCAUUUUUGCUAAUCCCAGAAUUUUAGGGAAAUGCAUGUACAGCAGCCAUGUAUAAAAGAUGUUGUGUUACGAAGUACUCUCUCUCUCUGGCAGCAUAACUGGUGCAGUGGUACAGGCGAGAAUACAAUGAACUUAAGUAACUCCCCAGCCAGCAACAAUCAUCCUCUUCUUGUUAGGGUUCAUAUACUGUUGCUCUUCUCCAACUGGUAAACAGAUUGGCUUCACUGAAAUAAAAUUACAUCAAAAAGUCAAUGAAAGUGUAGCACUUUACUGCCUUAGCUGUAUUGUAAUAAGGGAAUCAGUGUUGUUUUUCAACUCGCUUUCGAAUGUACAAGUACACAUUCUAUUAGUAUUAAAACUUAAUUGUCUGUGAAAUCUUAACGUUAAUUUCAUGUUUAAUGUAGUUUUUAAAUGACAUUGUCCUUCUGUUGUGUUUCCAGUUGACAUUUUCACUAUUCUGUAAUCUCAGUGAUUAUUUGUGUAAAUUUAAAGUAGCACUACAUUGCCUACAUGUUUCUUAGUUCCCCAUGUAAAUUGUUUGUAUUCUCUGUAUGUGAAGUUACUAUAUUCAUCAAUGAACAAUUUUGUGUACAUUUUUUUAAAUGGCAGUCCAUUGCCUUUUUUUUCCCAAACUACAUAUUUGUUAAGAAAAAUGACUUGUCCUAUAUCAUGUGUACUUUGUAC